rnacentral:rRNA from 1 species
GGUCAAGCGAAUAAGUGCAUGUGGUGGAUGCCUUGGCGAUAACAGGCGAUGAAGGACGCGACAGCCUGCGAUAAGCCUCGGGGAGCCGGCAAAUAGGCGUUGAUCCGAGGAUUUCCGAAUGGGGAAACCCAACCCGCAAGGGUUACCUGUCCCUGAAUACAUAGGGGAUAAGGAGCGAACCUGGAGAACUGAAACAUCUCAGUAACCAGAGGAACAGAAAUCAACCGAGAUUCCCAAAGUAGUGGCGAGCGAAAUGGGACCAGCCUUCGAGUUUUAGCACGCGAGUUAGCGAAAUGGCCCUGGAAAGGCCGGCCGCAGAGGGUGAUAGCCCCGUACGCGAAAACGCGUGUGUGGAACUGAGCUCGAGACAAGUAGGGCGGGACACGUGAAAUCCUGUCUGAAGAUGGGGGGACCAUCCUCCAAGGCUAAAUACUCGUUAUCGACCGAUAGUGAACCAGUACCGUGAGGGAAAGGCGAAAAGAACCCCGGGAGGGGAGUGAAAUAGAACCUGAAACCGCAUGCAUACAAACAGUCGGAGCCUCAGCAAUGGGGUGACGGCGUACCUUUGUAUAAUGGGUCAGCGACUUACGUUCAGUUGCGAGCUUAAGGCUAGGUGCCGGAGGCUGGCGAAAGCGAGUCUGAACAGGGCGUUCAGUAGCUGGGCGUAGACCCGAAAUCGGUUGAUCUAUCCAUGGCCAGGUUGCAGGUGGGGUAACACCCGCUGGAGGACCGAACCCACGCCCGUUGAAAAGGUCGGGGAUGAGCUGUGGAUAGGGGUGAAAGGCUAAACAAAACCGGAGAUAGCUGGUUCUCCUCGAAAACUAUUCAGGUAGUGCGUCACGUAUUACCUUCGGGGUAGAGCACUGUUAUGGCUAGGGGGCCGCUAUAGGCUUACCAAACCAUGGCAAACUCGAAUACCGAAGAGUAGAGCGUGGCAGACAGUCCCCGGGUGCUAACGUCCGGGGACAAGAGGGAAACAACCCAGACCGCCAGCUAAGGUCCCCAAUAUCGGCUAAGUGGAAAACGAGGUGGGAAGGCUCAGACAGUCAGGAGGUUGGCUUAGAAGCAGCCAUCCUUUAAAGAAAGCGUAAUAGCUCACUGAUCGAGUCGUCCUGCGCGGAAGAUGUAACGGGGCUCAAGCCGAACUGCGAUAUCACCGGAAGCUGCGGAUCUAUGGAGCAAUCCAUAGGUGGUAGAGGAGGCGUUCCCUACGCCUGCGAAGGUGUGCCGAGAGGCAUGCUGGAGGUAUGGGAAGUGCGAAUGCUGACAUGAGUAGCGAUAAAGGGAGUGAAAGGCUCCCUCGCCGAAAGCCAAGGUUUCCUGCGCAACGUUCAUCGGCGCAGGGUGAGUCGGCCCCUAAGGUGAGGCAGAGAUGCGUAGCUGAUGGGAAUCCGGUCAAUAUUCCGGAACCGCCGGCGGGUGCGAUGUGGGGACGGAGAAGGCUAUGCAGGCCAGGUGUUGGACGUCCUGGCGAAGCGUGUAGGUGGAUCCCUUAGGGAAAUCCGGGGGGUCAACACUGAGGCGCGGGACCAAGGGAGCUUUGCUCCCUGAAGCUGCAGAUGCCCUGCUUCCAGGAAAAGCCACUAAGCUUCAGCCCGUCGGGACCGUACCGCAAACCGACACAGGUGGGCAGGAUGAAAAUUCUCAGGCGCUUGAGAGAACUCAGGAGAAGGAACUCGGCAAAUUGACACCGUAACUUCGGGAGAAGGUGUGCCUUUGGUAGGUGUAGCGGCUUGCCCGUGAAGCCGAAGAAGGCCGCAGAGAAUCGGUGGCUGCGACUGUUUAACAAAAACACAGCACUCUGCUAAGACGAUGAGUCGACGUAUAGGGUGUGACGCCUGCCGGUGCCGGAAGGUUAAGUGAUGGGGUGCAAGCUCUUGAUCGAAGCCCCGGUAAACGGCGGCCGUAACUAUAACGGUCCUAAGGUAGCGAAAUUCCUUGUCGGGUAAGUUCCGACCCGCACGAAUGGCGUAACGAUGGCCACACUGUCUCCUCCUGAGACUCAGCGAAGUUGAAAUGUUUGUGAAGAUGCAAUCUACCCGCGGCUAGACGGAAAGACCCCAUGAACCUUUACUGUAGCUUUGCAUUGGACUGUGACGUUGUCUGUGUAGGAUAGCUGGGAGGCUUUGAAGGCGGGAUGCUAGAUCCGGUGGAGCCGACGUUGAAAUACCAGCCUGAC